rnacentral:rRNA from 2 species
AUUAUACCGCGAAACUGCGAAUGGCUCAUUAAAUCAGUUAUCGUUUAUUUGAUAGUACCUUACUACAUGGAUAACCGUGGUAAUUCUAGAGCUAAUACAUGCUGAAAAUCCCGACUUCGGAAGGGAUGUAUUUAUUAGAUUAAAAACCAAUGCCCUCCGGGGCUCUCUGGUGAUUCAUAAUAACUUCUCGAAUCGCACGGCCUUGCGCCGGCGAUGGUUCAUUCAAAUUUCUGCCCUAUCAACUUUCGACGGCUGGGUCUUGGCCAGCCGUGGUGACAACGGGUAACGGAGGGUUAGGGCUCGACCCCGGAGAAGGAGCCUGAGAAACGGCUACUACAUCCAAGGAAGGCAGCAGGCGCGCAAAUUACCCAAUCCCGACACGGGGAGGUAGUGACAAUAAAUACUGAUACAGGGCUCUUUUGGGUCUUGUAAUUGGAAUGAGUACAAUUUAAAUCCCUUAACGAGGAACAAUUGGAGGGCAAGUCUGGUGCCAGCAGCCGCGGUAAUUCCAGCUCCAAUAGCGUAUAUUAAAGUUGUUGAGGUUAAAAAGCUCGUAGUUGAACCUUGGGCCUAGCCGGCCGGUCCGCCUCACCGCGUGCACUGGCUCGGCUGGGUCUUUCCUUCUGGAGAACCGCAUGCCCUUCACUGGGUGUGCCGGGGAACCAGGACUUUUACUCUGAACAAAUUAGAUCGCUUAAAGAAGGCCUAUGCUCGAAUACAUUAGCAUGGAAUAAUAGAAUAGGACGUGUGGUUCUAUUUUGUUGGUUUCUAGGACCGCCGUAAUGAUUAAUAGGGACAGUCGGGGGCAUCAGUAUUCAAUUGUCAGAGGUGAAAUUCUUGGAUUUAUUGAAGACUAACUACUGCGAAAGCAUUUGCCAAGGAUGUUUUCAUUAAUCAGGAACGAAAGUUAGGGGAUCGAAGACGAUCAGAUACCGUCGUAGUCUUAACCAUAAACUAUGCCGAUUAGGGAUCGGACGGCGUUAUUUUUUGACCCGUUCGGCACCUUACGAUAAAUCAAAAUGUUGG